AUUAUUUAGUACUAAAUAUUUUGUAAGCAGGCAUCACUGUUAAAUUUUUAUUUCAUGGCUGAAUUUUGUGCUUGUUGGAGAGAGAUCAUUGGCGCUGGAAGAAUAGGACGGGCAAGAAAAAUAUUAAUAAGAACUUGGAAUUUUGAUGUGCCUCCAGAUUUAAUGUAUGUUUAUUUUUAUAUUUAUUUUUAUAUAUUAUUAUUAAUAUGAAAAAUCCACAAAAACGUGGUGUAUAUUAAAUAAAUCCGUUAAAUAUGGUGAAUUAAAAAUCCAAGAUGAAUGUCGUCAUGGUCAUUUACAAUCAUGUGUGAUUUAUUAUAAUUCAUUUAAUUAUGAAAAAAAGUUUUUUAUUUUUAAGUAUUAUGCUAAG